GACUCAUCCCCGGGGAACCAAUAUAUAAAUAUUGGUUGAGAGCGGAACUGACCGCGACCCGUUGAACCUGAUCCGAUUAAUAUCGGCGGAGGGAGGGAGCGGUUAUUUGGA
rnacentral:ncRNA from 2 species